rnacentral:rRNA from 1 species
GACGAACGCUGGCGGCGUGCUUAACACAUGCAAGUCGAACGGAAAGGCCCUGCUUUUGUGGGGGGCUCGAGGGGCGAACGGGUGAGUAACACGUGAGUAACCUGCCCUUGACUUUGGGAUAACUUCAGGAAACUGGGGCUAAUACCGGAUAUUAGCGCCUGCUGCAUGGGGGGGGUUGGAAAGUUUCGGCGGUUGGGGUUGGACUCGCGGCUGAUCAGCUUGUUGGUGGGGUAGUGGCUUACCAAGGCGUUGACGGGUAGCCGGCCUGAGAGGGUGACCGGCCACAUUGGGACUGAGAUACGGCGCAGACUCCUACGGGAGGCAUCCGUGGGGAAUAUUGCCCAAUGGGCGGAAGCCUGAGGCAGCGACGCCGCGUGCGGGAUGACGGCCUUCGGGUUGUAAACAGCUUUCGCCUGUGACGAAGCGUGGGUGACGGUAAUGGGUGAAGAAGCACCGGCUAACUACGUG